UACGUAGGGCGCGAGCGUUGUCCGGAAUUAUUGGGCGUAAAGAGCUCGUAGGCGGCCUGUUGCGUCCGCUGUGAAAUCCCGGGGCUCAACCCUGGGCGUGCAGUGGAUACGGGCAGACUAGAGUGAUGUAGGGGAGACGUGAAUUCCUGGUGUAGCGGUGAAAUGCGCAGAUAUCAGGAGGAACACCGAUGGCGAAGGCAGGUCUCUGGGCAUUAACUGACGCUGAGGAGCGAAAGCAUGGGGAGCGAACAGGA
rnacentral:rRNA from 1 species